GGUAGGCGAGGCGGUCUCCAAAACCGCUUGCGGUGGGUUCGACUCCCAACCGUCCGUGCCA
rnacentral:tRNA from 1 species